GAUGAACGCUGGCGGCGUGCCUAAUACAUGCAAGUCGAGCGAACAGACGAGGAGCUUGCUCCUCUGACGUUAGCGGCGGACGGGUGAGUAACACGUGGAUAACCUACCUAUAAGACUGGGAUAACUUCGGGAAACCGGAGCUAAUACCGGAUAAUAUAUUGAACCGCAUGGUUCAAUAGUGAAAGACGGUUUUGCUGUCACUUAUAGAUGGAUCCGCGCCGCAUUAGCUAGUUGGUAAGGUAACGGCUUACCAAGGCAACGAUGCGUAGCCGACCUGAGAGGGUGAUCGGCCACACUGGAACUGAGACACGGUCCAGACUCCUACGGGAGGCAGCAGUAGGGAAUCUUCCGCAAUGGGCGAAAGCCUGACGGAGCAACGCCGCGUGAGUGAUGAAGGUCUUCGGAUCGUAAAGCUCUGUUAUUAGGGAAGAACAAAUGUGUAAGUAACUAUGCACGUCUUGACGGUACCUAAUCAGAAAGCCACGACUAACUACGUG
rnacentral:rRNA from 1 species